GCGAACGGGUGAGGAACACGUGAGAAACCUGCCUCGGAUUUUGGGAUAACAAAUGGAAACGUUUGCUAAUACCAAAUAACGUCGGAGAGUCACAUGACUUUCUGACGAAAGGAAUUCCGAUUCGAGAGGGUCUCGCGGCCUAUCAGCUAGUUGGCGGGGUAAUGGCCCACCAAGGCAACGACGCGUAGGGGGUCUGAGAGGAUGGCCCCCCACAUUGGGACUGAGAUACGGUCCAGACUCC
rnacentral:rRNA from 1 species